GGACUACAAGGGUAUCUAAUCCUUUUUGAUCCCCACGCUUUAGUGAUUGACCGUCAGCAGAGCACUAGUAGGCUGCUUUCGCUUUUGGUGUUCCGUGCAAUAUCAAUGGAUUUCACCCCUACACUGCACGUUCCGCCUACCUCUUACCCGCUCUAGCCUUGCCGUUUCCCGCGCGGUCUCACCGUUGAGCAGUGAGAUUUAACACGAGACUAGCAAAGCCGGCUGCUCACGCUUUACGCCCAGUAAUUCCGGAUAACGCUCGGGGUCCUCGUAUUACCGCGGCUGCUGGCAC
rnacentral:rRNA from 1 species